UCGAAAGGUCAAGGUAGGGGGUUAGGGUUAGAGGUCAAAGGAUCAGGGUAGGGGUUAGGGUUAGAGGUCCGGGGGUCUGGGUAAGAGGUCCAGGUGAGGUUAGGAUCAGGAAGGAUUGAGGUUAGAGGUCAGGGUUGGGUAGGAGUCAGGGUUAGGGAAUGAAUUAGGGGUCCAGGUCAAGGGUCGGGGGUCCGGGUUUGGAUUCUGGACGAGUUUAAGUAUUGUCUGCUUCUGUAAGAAGGUAAGUAUAAACAAUGUCAGUAUUUCUGUAUCAUGCUGAGUACAAGCAUGAUACAGAACCCUAACCCUAGUAUUUAUAUACAAUGUAUAGUCAAGGCAUCAUCAAAUGUAAGUAGGAAAUUUCAUAACAAUCCAAUAUCUAAUUCCUUUUUGUAGUUAUAUUUACACUUAUGUGACAAUACUCUGUUUCGUUUUCUCCCAACAGGUUCCCGCUGUCUACAGGUUCUGGUUUCCCGAUGAGGAGGCAUCCCACCAACAGGUAAGUAUACGUUCUUUUCAGGUAAGUCUGUAAGCAUUCACAGGUAAGUAUGUAACCAUAUUCCUUUACAGGUCUAUUUAAUAUUAAAUUCAAACAUAUAUUAGAGGCUUCAGACAUGUACCCAAACUCAGUUCAUAAAAUAAAUAAAUACAUUAAAAUAUAUGAAUAAGUACAUAAAUAAACCUUUGUAAGUGCAAUAGGUUACCAAAUAAGUGCUUAAAUAUGAAAAAGCAUACACAAAGGAAUUCAUAAGCAUAGUUUUUGUAAAGAAUAUCAUGCUAAAAAAAGGUAAAAUCACAAUUCCAAAUAUAAAAAAUUAAAAACAUCGCAUACUUAGAUUAGAACGUAUUUACAUUAAGAGUUAAAGUAAUAAAUAAAAUAAUAUAUGCAAAAAAAAGUCACUUGAGUGGUACCAUUCUGGAUUAACCUCUUUUCAUGUUUUAUCUGUUAUUUUGUUGGUCAGCAUACUUUAUCCCUGCACUUCAUUUUUUGGGCCAGAAGAUGGAGGCAAAGGACCGUGUUUAAUCCAGCCUUUCAUUCAGGCCCAGAGGAUGGUAAAUUUGGAGUCUCAUAAUCCAACUCCUUUCUGUUUUUUGUCUCUGUCGCUUUGUCCAUUGUAGGUUCUGUUCUAACCCGAAAAUUAAAAUGGAGUCCAUGGCAUGCUCCUGGAAGUGUUUCCCUGAGACUAUGGGUUGAGGAGGAAGUGGAAGCAGCUCUGAGGAGAGAGGGGUUUGCUGUAAAUGAUGAGUGGGUGCUCUGCAGUGAUCAUUUUAAACCUGAUGAGUUUGACAGGGCUGGGCAGAUUUCCCGGCUUAGACCUGGUGUCAUUCCAUCAGUGUUUAACUUCCCGGCUCAUCUUGGAAGAGGAGGUGCAUCAUUGACAAGGAUGCAGCAACUCAGUUUUAUUGAGUUUCAUUAUUUUCAUGACAGUUGGCAGCAAUUAAAAUCUCCAUCACAACUACGCCCCCUGCUGUCUGAUCCUCUUCUGUCUGCAUGACACCGUGCUCCCAAACACACCAAGGAGCACAGGCCAGAGCUACGCAGGGUUUGUGGGCGGCCGUCCCGCAUAUUGCAGACAUGCAGAACCUGUGGGUUACAGUAUAAUUUUUCAUCUUAUAACUAUCCCACUGUGUUGUGUUAAUUCCUUAUGCCUUUAAUAGUAAUGUUGACCAUUUUAAAGGAGCAGGACUGAGCUCUUUAUCUGAGGAGGGACUGUUACCUCCUAGUUUAAUGUUCAUUUUCAACGAGAACAAUAAACUAAGAAAUGUAUGAUUUAUAAUAAUUUGUAACUAAACAUAAAUAAAGACUAAUUGUGUGCAGUUGGAACAUGUUGGUAAUGAAAGUUUGCUAGUUUGACUCCGCCCACUGAAACUGCCACCGACUGCCCUCUCUUAUGUCUGCAGUUGAGCUCUUUCUGGGUUUUACACUAAUAGUUUAAUAGUGAUGCAAAGAUGUUUUUUUGGGGGGUUCAGCUUCUAUGAGUGUUUACAGUAGGAUGGUGCUGUUGAAAACAUGUUGCACAUUUUGUAGUUUACUUGUGAUUAUUGCAGCUGUUUCUUUGGAUAUUUCAGUGUACAGAUUUAGUCUGUAGCAUGACAUGUUAGACUGAUGGAUUAAAAUGAUCUGCUGUA